GAAAGGAAAGGGGUCAUAGAAAUUAGUCUUGGCAGAUGGAGGGGAACGUCUCAAUGACCGAGGCACAUUUUUUCUUGUUAGUUAGCUCAUGGAUUUUUAUGGUCCAGGAGGAGUUGCUGCUAUAUGAAUAUGACAACACCCAUUAAUCAACAUAACUAUAUGAAUACAAUCUGAAAGGAAGGUCGGUUUGGUCAGAAACUCAUAGAGGUACUGAUGGAGGCUAUGAAACAGAUAAGGUAUACUUCACUAAAUUAUUCCUGAAACAUUUGUAUUUUUUAAAAUAACAUGUAAUCUUGUUGAUCUGGUUUACUCAAGCUGCAUCGAGUUUGUACUCGACAAACCUAAUUGGAUCUCUAUUCUAAUCCAGACAUUGCUUGUGUGUUGAUGAAGAAGUUCAGGAUUCCAAACCAGUUUUCAUGUCUGUUUGAUAAAGUUGUUCAUGCUUUGUGCAAUCUGCAGGUGAAGCUAGAUUUUCUAGAUGAAGUCCUUGUGUCUGUAAGUGGACACUAUGGAUAUGCUGCUAUAUUUAGAUAAGAAAAUGUGUUCCAGUUGACAACUUAUGAAUGCAUUAAAUAUAUACGUGUGUAUUUAGUCUUUGUACGAUGGCAUAUCCUGAUUUGCAUUGCUACUUAGAUGUGUGAACUGUUGGAGUUGGCAGAGCUGACCAUAUUUAGUUGUCAUGCUGUGCUAGGCCUAAAUUGUCUGAUGAUGUAAUUGUUGUCUGUUGGCUAUUGAGUCUGCUUGACAAACCUACCAAUUCAAAUUUAGUUAUGCUAUAUGUUCUUUUUGUGAAAUUACAAAUCCGCAUUGUUACAACAUCUGAAAUCCUGAUAUUUAUUAGGUCUCUUCGUUCCCUUUUCAGAUUUAAUUAACCUCUGAUUGGAUUCAGAGCUAUAUACUGACAGCCGUAUUGGUUUGAUUACUCGGUACACAGGGGAACUACAACAUUUGGUGUGAGUCGUACUACUUCGGGUUUUGGAUCUUCAAGCUCACCUUCAUUUGGCACAU
rnacentral:lncRNA from 1 species